GCAUCUAUAGCUCACUUGGUUAGAGUGUGGUGCUGAUAGCGCCAAGGUUGGAGGUUUGAUCCCCAUAAGGGAUAGCUGCA
rnacentral:tRNA from 1 species